rnacentral:rRNA from 1 species
AGAGUUUGAUCCUGGCUCAGGAUGAACGCUGGCGGCGUGCUUAAUACAUGCAAGUCGAACGGAGACAGUAGCAAUAUUGUCUUAGUGGCGAACGGGUGAGUAACGCGUUGGUGACCUGCCCCGAAGAGGGGGAUAACAGUCCGAAAGGAUUGCUAAUACCCCAUGUGGUCAUUUGGAUUAGAUGCCUUAUGACUAAACGGAUUUAUUCGCUUCGGGAGGGGCCUGCGUCCCAUCAGCUAGUUGGUAAGGUAAUGGCUUACCAAGGCGAUGACGGGUAGGGGACCUGAGAGGGUGGCCCCCCACAAUGGAACUGAAGCACGGUCCAUACACCUACGGGUGGCAGCAGUAGGGAAUAUUGGUAAUGUGCGAAAGCGCGAACCAGCAACGCCGCGUGCGCGAUGAAGGCCUUCGGGUUGUAAAGCGCUUUUUAUGGGGAUGAGGAAGGACAGUACUCAUAGAAUAAGCCUCGGCUAACUACGUGCCAGCAGCCGCGGUAAAACGUAGGAGGCGAGCGUUAUCCGGAUUUACUGGGCGUAAAGCGUGUGUAGGCGGUUUGAUAAGUUGGAUGUGAAAGCUCCUGGCUUAACUGGGAGAGGUCGUUCAAAACUAUCAGACUUGAGAGUGGUAGAGGGAGGUGGAAUUCCGGGUGUAGUGGUGAAAUGCGUAGAUAUCCGGAGGAACACCAGUGGCGAAAGCGGCCUCCUGGCCCAUUUCUGACGCUCAGACACGAAAGCUAAGGUAGCAAACGGGAUUAGAGACCCCGGUAGUCUUAGCUGUAAACGAUGUGAACUUAGUGUCGGUGGUGUUAAAUCCAUCGGUACUGAAGCUAACGCGAUAAGUUCACCGCCUGGGGACUACGGCCGCAAGGUUAAAACUCAAAGGAAUUGACGG